rnacentral:rRNA from 1 species
AGUGAACGCUGGCGGUAGGCCUAACACAUGCAAGUCGAACGGCAGCACAGUAAGAGCUUGCUCUUACGGGUGGCGAGUGGCGGACGGGUGAGGAAUACAUCGGAAUCUACUUUUUCGUGGGGGAUAACGUAGGGAAACUUACGCUAAUACCGCAUACGACCUACGGGUGAAAGCAGGGGAUCUUCGGACCUUGCGCGAUUGAAUGAGCCGAUGUCGGAUUAGCUAGUUGGCGGGGUAAAGGCCCACCAAGGCGACGAUCCGUAGCUGGUCUGAGAGGAUGAUCAGCCACACUGGAACUGAGACACGGUCCAGACUCCUACGGGAGGCAGCAGUGGGGAAUAUUGGACAAUGGGCGAAAGCCUGAUGCAGCCAUACCGCGUGGGUGAAGAAGGCCUUCGGGUUGUAAAGCCCUUUUGUUGGGAAAGAAAAGCAGCAGGUUAAUACCCCGCUGUUCUGACGGUACCCAAAGAAUAAGCAACGGCUAACUUCGUG